rnacentral:rRNA from 1 species
GAUGAACGCUGGCGGCGUGCUUAACACAUGCAAGUCGAACGAAGCACUUUAUUUGAUUUCCUUCGGGACUGAUUAUUUUGUGACUGAGUGGCGGACGGGUGAGUAACGCGUGGGUAACCUGCCUUGUACAGGGGGAUAACAGUUGGAAACGGCUGCUAAUACCGCAUAAGCGCACGGCAUCGCAUGAUGCAGUGUGAAAAACUCCGGUGGUAUAAGAUGGACCCGCGUUGGAUUAGCUAGUUGGUGAGGUAACGGCCCACCAAGGCGACGAUCCAUAGCCGACCUGAGAGGGUGACCGGCCACAUUGGGACUGAGACACGGCCCAAACUCCUACGGGAGGCGGCAGUGGGGAAUAUUGCACAAUGGGCGAAAGCCUGAUGCAGCGACGCCGCGUGAGCGAAGAAGUAUUUCGGUAUGUAAAGCUCUAUCAGCAGGGAAGAUAAUGACGGUACCUGACUAAGAAGCACCGGCUAAAUACGUG